AUUGAACGCUGGCGGCAGGCCUAACACAUGCAAGUCGAGCGAGCGGAGGACGGGUGAGUAAAGUAUGGGGACAGCACGAUAGAGGGGGAUAUAAAUAGGAAACGGUGGCGAAAACAGCAUACUCUCGGAGAAUCCAUAUGGGAUUAGCUAGUAGGUAGGGUAAUGGCUUACCUAGGCGACGAUCCCUAGCAGGUCUGAGAGGAUGAUCAGCCACACUGGGACUGAGACACGGCCCAGACUCCUACGGAGGCAGCAGUGGGGAAUAUUGCACAAUGGGCGCAAGCCUGAUGCAGCCAUGCCGCGUGUAUGAAGAAGGCCCUAGGGUUGUAAAGUACUUUCAGUCGGGAGGCGUUACCGACAGAAGAAGCACCGGCUAACUCCGUGCCAGCAGCCGCGGUAAUAC
rnacentral:rRNA from 1 species